UUGUGGCAGCGCUGGGAGGGGGUCCCCGGUGCUGCUGCUGAGCGGGCGCAGGUGCCUCAGGGGCUGCGCUGUGUGAACUUCCUGCACCGCAGGAGCCGCCCGAGGACCCCAGAAUGCCUCGGGAGCGAAGCGAGGAAAUGGCCCUGCAACUGUCCUGAUGCUGAUUCAAAGGCACUGAGUGUAUUCUGUGUUCCUGAAGAGACAGAGAGAGAUCUUCUAUCCACUAGUUUACUCUCCAGAUGCCUGCAGUAGGUGGAACUGGGCCAGGCUGAAGUCAGAUGAUGGGAGUUCAAUUCAGGCCUUCCACACAGUCUGAAGUCUGGGAAGUCCAAGGCCAAGAAGACCCAUCUGAAGAGGGCCAUAUUCCUGCAUUCUAACAUGACAGACAUCAUUGCAUGGACUUUGAAUAAACCGCACCAUCACCUUCUGGCCUGCAAAGUUUCUCCUGGAAAAAAUACUGACAGUCUUCAGGAGGUCCCUUUGUAUACAUUCUUUCAGGUAGAAGAAAUUCAGUUCCUGCUAUUAUCCUGACUGGAAGUGGACUAGACUUUGAGGAUGGAAGGCUGCGAUUAAAACUACCAUUAAUAAUUCAGAAAUACUUCCACAACUCAGAAUGAUAUCUCACUGAACUCUGCAGGCCCUGCAAGCAAAUGGCAGAACUGCCUGGUAAUGCUUAGAAGAAUUUGGACAGGCACGAUGGGAACAAAGUGCAGAAUAACAGUCUUGUUGGAAAUGUUGACUGAGGUGAUCUAUCAAUAGGAUGAAUGCCCACCCAUAUGGAGGUCAUCAGCAGCUGGCAGAGGCCUAGGUGCCCUUGCUGCUGUGAAAUCUGAACAUGAGUAUAAAGAUCAAAUGGAACAACUAGCUAAAAUUGCAUCUAAUAAAAAAAUCAAAAGAGGACUAUUCUCUGGAAAAAUACAUAUACCAUCAUUCAGCCUACACAGAAGCACAAGCUAUGCACAGGUGGGCAUUAGCUGGAGGAAUAUCAUUUAACCAUCUGAAAACAAAAGGAUAUGAAAUUUGUAAAAAUACCAAGAAUGGAAAGUACCACAAAUAAUUGGAGGAUAAUUGGCUUGAAGAACUUUACCAGCUCAAAUAUGGCAGAGUUAGACAGUGAGAGAGAGAGAGACAGAGAGAAAGGUCUUCCUUCCGUUGGUUCACCCUCCAAAUGGCUGCUACGGCUGGUGUACUGCGCCGAUCCGAAGCUAGGAGCCAGGUGCUUCCUCCUGGUCUCCCAUGUGGGUACAGGACCCAAGCACUUGGGCCAUCAUCCACUGCCUUCCCGGGCCACAGCAGAGAGCUGUACUGGAAGAGGAGCAACCGGGACAGGACUGGCACCCCAACUGGGACUAGAACCUGGAGUAUCAGCGCCGCAGGCAGAGGCUUAGUCUAGUGAGCCAUGGUGCCAGCGACCCAUUUAUUUUUGAUGAUGAUCCCAGUUAACCACUCUGCUUUUUUUUUUUUUAAAGAUUUAUUUAUUUAUUUGAAAGUCAGAGUUACACAGAGGAGAGGCAGAGAGAGAGAGAGAGAGAGAGAGAGAGAGAGAGAGAGAGAGGCCUUCUAUCCGAUGGUUCACUCCGUAGUUGGCUGCAAUGGCUGG